rnacentral:tRNA from 1 species
GCAGGUGUGGUGUUAAUGGAUUGAGCACGCCAGACUUCCAAUCUGGAGGGGAGAGUUCGAGUCUCUCUACCUGCA